UGUUCCUGCUGCAGUUCACCCUCUCCUGUGUGAUGGGGUUCAUCUUGAUGUAUGCUACAGUACUCUGUACUCAGUAUAACUCUGCUCUGACCACAACAAUAGUCGGCUGCAUUAAGGUGAGAGGAAAGAGCAGUAGUUUCCUUUUGGAAUCUGCUUUAUGUACAAGUCGUUCCUCUAAAUUAAAACUGUAAACAUGCUUGCUGCCCAGUCUGGUGACAUGAGUUCUCUAGAACUCACAUGUUAGAAGGUGAGAAUUGACUCUUAACAAUCUGUCCUCUGACCUCACUUACAUACUGUGGGACAAGUGCCCCCCAAAAUAAAUAAGUACAAACUGUUAAG
rnacentral:lncRNA from 1 species